rnacentral:lncRNA from 1 species
AUUCAGAAAGAAUGGGGAAUUAAGGGAGGGGAUAGAAGAAGAAUUCAAUAGAAGAAGGGGAGGGAUGCGCCAUAAACCACCAAAAUAAUUAUUCGUUCAUCAUCAACUGAAAGUUACAAUGCAAAAUAGGUUUAAAUAGUAAAGCAACCCUAAUGAACUUGGGCCCGAGCCCAUACAAGUCCAAAUUUAAAUAAUAGUCCAAGAAAAUAAAUAAAGUUUAAAUAAAAUAAGUAAACGUCGUCCGAUGUCCUCAUCAACUCUCCCGGGGUGGAAGAAAAACUCGACCCCGUCGAGUGGAUAAAUCAAGAUGUUGCAAUGAAUCUGAUGCUAAAGGCUCCAAGUCAUGCCAUGGGGGACGAUCUUUCUGACGAACCAAAUAUCGAAAUUCCACAAAUGAUGACGAUGCCAAUUGCAAAUUACUCGCAAAAACAUAAGCUGAUCAAGAUAACUUAGGCGAGUGAGAAUUUUGCUGACUCUUAUAAAGCUCCAAUAAAUUUGGCUCACGCCGCUGAAGUCUCUCUUUGGGAAUCCAUGUACCGUCAGAAUCAAGUCGAUCCAUCCAACGAACAAGAAAGCACUGAAUUUCUCUAUUAUUGGUCAACACAAGCUGUUCAUUCAAAAUAACAUCAAUUUUAUUUUUGUGUGCUAUGAUAGGUGGGAUUGAAGCAGACAUGACAAAAGAUUCAGUGUGAGAAUUCUCAUGUGGGAGUAGAAACGGGUCAUCAGAGGGGCUAAAAUAGCCGUUGUAAGCAUCGAAGUCCGUAACAAAUAAAAUAGGGUGGUGGUCAUAAUGUGAUAAAAGGUCAUUGACAUAGGCAUUUUGACCAACAUGCUUUGAAAUUUUAAAAAGACCAGCAUUACACGCUUGCAAUAUAACAUAAUCCCCAAUAUUAAAUUCAAAGUAUUGUUUAUGCCAAUCAACUUGAAGUUUAUAUAAUGCUUUUCUUGCUUCAAAUUGUUUAUUGAUCUCAAUAUGCAAGCUAUGAAAAUGUGAUACAACUACCUCAACUGACAUAGACACACAAGCAUGUGAGUGCAUGAGAAUAAGGUCUAGAGGUUUCAAAGGUUCACAACCAAGAAUAAUUUCAAAGGGUUUUAGACCUAAAGACCAGUUCACAGGAUCGUUAUAUGCAAUUUGAACAAUUGGAGGGAUCAAGUCCCAAUUCCCAAGAUUUUUCUGGACUAGAGACUGUAAUAAAUUGUCAGGAUUUUGGUUAGCACUUUUGUUUUGACCAUCAAUUUGAAGUUGGUCAGUGGUGGAUAAUUUUGCCUUAGUGUUAACCACAGGCGACUGGAUUUUCCAAGGGUGACUGGUGACAUCAUCAAGCUCUUUAACUUGGGUAAGGGUAUGACAUAUAACAUGUGAUCGAGAAUUGUCGGAGAUAAGGGAUAUAGUAUCCAAAGUCUCGAGAAGAGUCUGGAUUCCACCUAAGGAAGUGUCAUCACUAUCAUCCAAGUCAUCAAAAUCUUCAAAUUUAGGUUCAUAGACUAGAUCUUCUAACGGCUCCUCUAUUACAUUAUUUCGUUCUUUCAUGACUAAGGUUCGAUUAGGACAUUUAGAAGAAAUGUGAUCAAAGUCUUUACAGUUGACGCACAACAAGUGAGAAGAAGACUUUGGAAUUUUAAAAAUUCUACCCUGAUUUUUCAAGAUUGGAGGAACAUCAGACGGGGGAGGCCCUAGAAGGGACUUAACGGGAGGAAUUGGAGCCAAUGACACCGAAAGAUGAUUGUCAAUAUGCUUUCUACAUGAAAAAGAAGAUCUUGGACUCUCACAACCUUUACAAUUAUUUCUCCAAAUAGGAGGAACAUUAGACGGAGACGGUUUUAUGAUAGACUUAUGAUGAGGCGACGCUAAUGAGAUAGGUGAGCGACGAUAACCACGCUUUUCAUAUGGAGUACUAAUAAUCAACUCAUAAUCUCGAGCUAAAGAGUAAGCGCGAUCAAGAGUAGUGACACCUCGAAGGAAUAGCUCGCGCUUAAGAUCAUUUCUCAGACCUUGGCUAAACCUACUGAAAGUCGUGCUCUCAUCCUCAAUUAAAUGACAUUUGGUUCGAAAUUCCUCAAAUUGCGCGAUAUACUCAGUUACUAAUUGAUUUCCUUGUUUAAGGGCAUUCCAUUGAGUAAGAAUUUCAAAAUUAUUUCAUUCUCGCUCACGAAUCUGAUCUCUAUUCCUAUCCCUAUCCUUACGAUCGGGUCGAAAGUAUUUUUGAUUACCCUGUCGACGAUGUUGUCUAUUCUGGGACACCUUAGAAUUAUCAACAUCAAUCGAAUGAGGGAUGUGUUUAAAAUUUUUCAAACUAACAGAUAGGGCCUUACUCUUCAAGAGUAGCGGUCAUUUGAGUUUGAAUAGCCGCUAUUUGUCGAGUGAGUGCAUUGAAUUGUGAGGGAUUCAUGUUUAAGGUACUAGAGCUAGAAAUGACAAGAUGACCAAUAUGUAACUACCUGCACUGUAAUAGCAACUUAAUGACAUGCAAUAGAGAGAUCAACAAACAAAAAGUGCAAGUAAUGGAAAAUGAAAAUUUGAGCUAUUUUUUAUUGUUAUUAUUAUUUUUUUUAAAUUUAAAUUUUGGGACUAAAAUUAUAUACAACAAGCUAGUAUUGCUGGUAUAUGUAAAAUAACAAAGCAAUGGUCAAAUACUAGUCAAAACCUAAUCACGUAAAAUAUGCAGGUUCAAGUGAGAUUUAAAGAGGUCAAAGGAUCCAAUUACGUGAGUUUAGAUAAAAAUAGAUCAGCACCAGCACAAAAAUUUAAUUGAUGCAAUUUCAGAAUGAAACAGUAAUAUAAACCAAUAAUAAAUAAAAGCAAGAACUUCCCUUUCGUUCGUCGAAGUAGUCAAGCCAGAUCAACCAGAAUAAAAGAUGUACCUGUAAAUAAUAGAAAAGACGUUUCUUCUCUCUUUUUUUUUUCCUUUUUUUUUCUUUUUUUUUCACUUUUUUUUUUCUUUUUUUUUUGGAACUACAGAAAAUGAUAAAUAAAUAAAAAAAAAAAAAGAAAUUUCGGGUGUGAACAGUACCCGUGAACAGUGACGGUUUUCUUUUUUUUUUUUUUUUUUUGAAACUGCUGAAAAAUCUAUAAAAAAAAAAACUGAAAUUCCGGGUGUGAACAGUACGAUUAUUUUUUUUUUUUUGCCUAAUCAACUAGAAAGAAAAUUGAACAAGAAAACUGUUGCCUCAUAACAAUUUUUUUUGUUUGUGCUGUUUCACAAGUUUUUGAGAAGAGGAUAGGAAGAAAGUUUUGGAUUGUGGAUGAAAAAUUACCCAUAUUUUGGCUCUGAUACCAAAUUUGAUGCAGCACCAAAAGAAUGAUUAAUAGAGAUAGAAGAAAGAUUCAGAAAGAAUGGGGAAUUAAGGGAGGGGAUAGAAGAAGAAUUCAAUAGAAGAAGGGGAGGGAUGCGCCAUAAGCCACCAAAAUAAUUAUUCGUUCAUCAUCAA